UGACUGUACAUCAACUGUAGCUGUAUCAACCACAAGAGUAGACUGAGACUCAUGAUCAUCAACUGAUUCAGCAAGAGACUGACCUAAAGUUCACUUUGUAAACUGUUGUUCCUUUUUAGCAGGCUUGUUCACAAAGGACAUAGUGAAGCUAGUCCAGGCUUUUAGACAUUGCAACUGACAAGAAAAGAACACUGAAAUAGCACUAAAUAAUGAAAUGAUUAUGCUUUCUAGUGUUGCUGUGGUGGCCCACUGUGAUUGGCACCAAAGUCUUACCACCUCCUCCUUUAUUUAGUCUCUCUUCAUCACCUUGUUAUCAGCCUGCCAUUUAUGCAUUCAUAAUUAUAAGAUUUUCAUAAAAAAUUGAAAUUAUAAUUGCAA